GCUCUGGUAGCUUAAUGAAAAGAGCGUGGCGCUGAAGAUGCUAAGGAGGGAGGAUAUCCCCCAGGGCA
rnacentral:tRNA from 2 species